GCGCACGGGAGAGUAACACGUGACUAACCUACCCUUGAGUGGGGGAUAACCUAGGGAAACCUGGGGCUAAGUUACCUGUAUAAUACCUUCGGUGUCAACACGGAGCAAUUCGCUUUUAGGAGGGGGUCGCGGCGAUUAGUUAGUUGGCGGGGUAAUGGCCCACCAAGACUGUGAUCGGUGAUCCGGCCUGAGAGGGCGCACGGACACACUGGAACUGAAACACGGUCCAGACUCCUACUGGGGAGGCAGCAGGUGGGGAAUUUUGCGCAAUGGGGGAAACCCUGGCGCAGUCAACGCCGCGUGGAGGAUGAAGCCCCUUGGGGCGUAAACUCCUUUUCGAUCGGGACGAUAAUGACGGUACCGAGAGAAGAAGCCCCGGCUAACUUCGUGCCAGCAGCCGCAGGUAAUACGAGGGGGGCGAGCGUUGUUCGGAAUUAUUGGGCGUAAAGGGUGCGUAGGCGGUUCAGUAAGGUCUUGUGUGAAAUCUUCGGGCUCAACUCGAAGUCUGCAUGAGAAACUGCUGGGCUUGACGUG
rnacentral:rRNA from 1 species